AAAGGAAUAGACGGGGGCCCGCACAAGCAGUGGAGUAUGUGGUUUAAUUCGAAGCAACGCGAAGAACCUUACCAGGUCUUGACAUCCUACUAACGAGGCAGAGAUGCGUCAGGUACCCGCAAGGGGAAGUAGAGACAGGUGGUGCAUGGUUGUCGUCAGCUCGUGUCGUGAGAUGUUGGGUUAAGUCCCGCAACGAGCGCAACCCUUAUUGUUAGUUGCUACGCAAGAGCACUCUAACGAGACUGCCGUUGACAAAACGGAGGAAGGUGGGGAUGAUGUCAAAUCAUCAUGCCCUUUAUGACCUGGGCUACACACGUACUACAAUGGCGGAGAACAGAGGGAAGCGAAGGCGCGAGCCGGAGCGAAUCCUGAAAAUCCGUCUCAGUUCGGAUCGCAGGCUGCAACCCGCCUGCGUGAAGUCGGAAUUGCUAGUAAUCGCGGAUCAGCAUGCCGCGGUGAAUACGUUCCCGGGCCUUGUACACACCGCCCGU
rnacentral:rRNA from 1 species